UGUUUUCACAUUUGUUCCAAAAUUACCCUCAAAAGUUAAAAUGACAAGUACACCUACCACUUAAAAAAAGCUCUUGAUAAGUAUAUUUAUCAAUGAUUUAAAAACCAAACCGGAUCAGCCGGUUGAACCGUCAAUUGGACCUUGAUCUGGUCCGAUUCAGCUUUUGAGUUGAAAGGGGCUUUAGACCGGCAUUGAACUAGACGGACCGAUGGUUGAAUCGUCGAACCGAACAAACCGUUCGAUUUUUUGUGAGUCGGUCAACAUGUGGGUUAACCAAAACACUCUUGGGCCUUGCUUGCCACAUUGGGCCUACA
rnacentral:lncRNA from 1 species